CGCUUAGAAGCUAACAGGUUUCAGCAUUAACCUUUUAAGUUAACUCUCGGUGACUACCAACCACCCUCAGCGA
rnacentral:tRNA from 1 species